CGCACGUCGCGCGGUGUCCGGUGCCCCCGGCGGCCCUUGAAAAUCCGGAGGACCGAGUACCGGCCCUUCCCGGUCGUACUCAUAACCGCAUCAGGUCUCCAAGGUGAACGACCUCUGGCCAAUGGAACAAUGUAGGCAAGGGAAGUCGGCAAAACGGAUCC
rnacentral:rRNA from 1 species